rnacentral:rRNA from 1 species
AGCGAACGCUGGCGACAGGCCUAACACAUGCAAGUCGAACGGACCCUUCGGGGUUAGUGGCGGACGGGUGAGUAACACGUGGGAACGUGCCUUUAGGUUCGGAAUAGCUCCCGGAAACGGGUGGUAAUGCCGAAUGUGCCCUUCGGGGGAAAGAUUUAUCGCCUUUAGAGCGGCCCGCGCCUGAUUAGCUAGUUGGUGAGGGAAUGGCUGACCAAGGCGACGAUCAGUAGCUGGUCUGAGAGGAUGACCCGCCACAUUGGGACUGAGACACGGCCCAAACUCCUACGGGAGGCAGCAGUGGGGAAUUUUGCGCAAUGGGCGAAAGCCUGACGCAGCCAUGCCGCGUGGAUGAUGAAGGUCUUAGGAUUGUAAAAUCCUUUCACCGGUGAAGAUAAUGACUGUAGCCGGAGAAGAAGCCCCGGCUAACUUCGUGCCAGCCGCCGCAGUAACAC